rnacentral:lncRNA from 1 species
UUCUAUCUUGAAUCCAGCAGACCUGGAUGUAGGUUUUCUUGCCUCUCAUCCCAUCCAUCAUUUAGAUGGAUUUGCAAAGGAGAGAUUAGUGAGAAUAGAUAAAUUCAAGCAUGUUGCUUUCCUACUCAAAAGCACUGGAAAAAAAAGAUAAUAAGAUGAGAAUAUGAAAGAUCAUCUUGUAAAAGAAAAGUGGAAACAAUUAGGAGUAGAAAGGGAUGUUAAACAGAAGGUUAAUCAAUGCCAUCAAAGCUUGUAAAAGAUUUCAUGAUUUCUAAUUGCAUUGACCAUUUUGUAGGAACCUAAACAGGCAUGAAUGCAUAUAAAUCAUUUACUUUCAAGCUUCAAUCUAAUACUUCUGCUGGCUUAUCCAACCUUGCUAAUAUAUCCUUCUCAGAAAUAUAAGCAGAUCACAUUGGCAAGAGCUGAAAGCCUGAUUGGAAAAAGAUUGAGAAUUGAUGUAUGUGUUUGUAGUGACAACCCAACCUAAGAAAAGAGCAACUUGCAUCAAAGAUAAUCAAAUAGACAGAAAUAUAUGGACUCCAGGAAACACACACACAAUUAUUACACAUCUAAUGUUUGGAGAAGAAUGUGUUCUUGAACAACAAUGCAGAUCAAGUAGCUUAGGACACACUGCAAUUGACAUUAGCUGAAAAUUCAUUUGAUACAGUUCAAUUGAUGUUAGUAUCAGUUUAUGUGGUUGAUCAUGAGACCAUUAACAUGUGCACCUCAACAUGUUUUGUACUUGGAAACUAAUGAACAAGUGAAGGAAGAACAAAUCAAGAAAAAUAAAUGUUGUGAGUUCAUAUACAAGCUAGAAGAAGAUGAUGUUUUUGAGAAUAUAUCUUUAGUCUCACCAAUGGUUGACUAUGUCUAUGAAAACAAGAUGCUAGAAAAACACAUGUAGAAAUUGAGAAUAUUAUUUUUGGUGCAGAUCAUACAUAAUAAUAGCAUCAGAAAUAUUACACUAGCAAAGAAUGAAUGUUUACUUUGUAGUAAAUCUCUAUGAUCUAAAUAUAGCAUCGGUCCCAAGGAAGAACCCAGAAGCCAUGAGAGGCCACCAUAUCACUGUCACCAGUGUUUCGUCAUGCAAGGGUGCAGUGAAGAACAUGUCUUCCAUAAGAAAGAGAUUGCAGAUAUCUGUUUUGGAGACUGUUCAAGCAGCUCUGGAAACUGAGGUCACUUAGGAUCAUUUUCACAGUCUUUAUUUGUUAUGGUAUGAUCCAAGAGAGAAAGACGUAUGAAUUUACAGAGAGCUUUUGAUUUUAGAGCAGUAGGAAAGGAAGAGGAGGAGGAGGAGGAGGAGGAGGAGAAGUGGAGGUUUCCUUCACUCUGAGCAACCCAAGGUUUGAUCUUGGUCUUUCAGUUUGAGUUCCACCAGCUGUUGGAUCAAAUUCCAGUGUCUUGUCCUUCUCAAUCUUCCUAAAGAUCUUCUGUGGCGAGGGAGGAGAAAACCCUAACCCUAAUCCUACCUGCGGAGCUGCCUUCUUCAGCUUCUCUGCAAUUGUUGUCCAAGAAAAGAGGACAGAGGCCUGCUUUGAGUUUUGCUCUUCUUUGGAAGGUCAGGGAAGAGAGAGAGAGAGAGAGAGAGAGAGAGAGAGAGAGAGAGAGAGAGAGAGAGCUGGGCAUGUCGGCGGCAUCGAGGUCGCCGUGCGCGGCGUGCAGGUUCUUGCGGCGGAAGUGCACGCCCGGCUGCGUGUUCGCGCCUUACUUCCCGCCGGACCAGCCGACGAAGUUCACCAGCGUGCAUCGGGUGUUCGGGGCGAGCAACGUGGCGAAGCUGCUUGGCGAGCUCAGCCCGUGGCAGAGGGAGGACGCCGUGAACUCGCUGGCCUACGAGGCGGAGGCGCGGCUCCACGACCCCGUCUACGGCUGCGUCGGUCACAUCUGCCUCCUCCAACACAAGCUCCACCAGGUGCAGAGCGACCUCUACAACGCCAGGAAGGAGCUCUCCGCCUACCUCAGCGUUCCCAUCGCCGAUCCCCACCACCAACAACCCCAAGCGGCAUCUCCAUCGUCCCACCAGCAGAUCUUGUUGCACGAGCUGCAACAGCAGAUGGCCGCGGUGCAGCAGAUUGCAGCCAACCGAGAGCGAGCGAAUCAGCAGGAGAUCUCAAGAUUCAGUACCGUGUUUCAGAUGGCUGGUGGCUCUACCAUGGCUGCCACCACGGGACUGCCGGCGUUGCUCCCCCCUCGGCCUUUCGAGGGAGUGUUCUCUCCGCAACAACAACAUAAUGAGAGGAAAUAAAGCAUUAGUUUCUGAUACUACUAAGCAAUGCUUGUCGAGCAAAACCUACAGAUCUCUCCUUCACUUCCUCUUAUUGCCGUGGAUUCACUCUCGGUAUUAAUGGGAUUAAGGAGACAACACUUACCACUUGAAUUUGAUUCAGUACAGCCAAGCAAAAGGAAUGGCGCUGCAGAAUACAUCUCUCUCUCU